AUGGACCAUUCCAUCCCUUUUUCCCGUGCAUAUGCAUCGGACUCGGAUGACGAUGGUCCCGAUGAACAAGUUGAUGCGGAGGGGUUCACGGUGAAGGAGGCCGAAGCUUUCGAGAAGGUAUUUGGUCGGGAUCAUCGGACUACAUUGUUCAAGGAUGUUAGUCUCGCGGAUGAAGCCGUGGUAGAUGGUGGCCAAUGUGUGCCUCUUGGGGUUAGGCCAAUCUCUCACCGUGAUUUGGGAGACGACAAGAACCAGAUUGCUAAAGGUCCUAAGUUCGACACCUUGUUGGAAUUGAAGAUGUGGCUCGACAACUACUCGGUUACGCAUUAUCGUCCACACAAGGUGGUGAACUCGGACGUCAAUGUGCGCUACACGGUUGCAUGUGCAUGUGAAGAUGAAAUAUGUCCGUGGAUUGUGCGUGCAAGACCAUGGAAAGGAGGUCCAACUUGGCAUGUAGUGAGUUGUGUGCCAACUCACAUGUGCCAAGGCAAAAGGGUGGAUGGCAAGAUUGUGUCCCAAGACCACAAACAACUCACGUCCGAGUUCAUCGCUUACAAGCUCUCCAACUCAAUAUCCACACUUCCAACAAUGAGCGUCCAACAUGUCAUUGACCUUGUGAAAGCCAUCUUUCAUUACAAGGUGAAAUACGGCAAGGCAUGGAAGGCGAAGCAAGCCGCAUUUAAGAUGUUGUAUGGUACAUGGGAGGAAACAUACAACUGA
rnacentral:rRNA from 1 species